AAGAGAUCUGAUGCUUUUCCAUGCUGCAAAAGUGUGACGCCACGUAGGGGAAUGGUUGUUGAAAAUUGAUCCAGCACAACAUUCACCCCAAAAUGAAGUUGGCACAAGCUCGUUCAAUCUUACGCAACACUGAGGGCGCGAUCCAAAAGAUAAGCCCCCAGUAUUGGGGAAUAGGGCUAAGGACGUAAUCAGACCAAAAUGACAUGCCAGCAUGAGAUAACAUCUUUUGCCUCCAACAUGAUAAACGUUUCCCCACUUUAACAAGCAAAGGGGAGCAGAUGCUUUCAAGGAGAUCACCAGUGAGCAACGGCAUGCCCAGCUCAUCAACGGGCGUCCUCGAGCAGCUCCUCAGUAGGGCAUUUUCCAGCGGCUCCUGGGCGGUGGCUUGCGAUGGGAUUUGGUGAGAAAUGCACGCCAAGAGGUCACUGUACAUUCGGAGCUAGGCUGCACGAUAAUUCCUAGCCAUGUUUGUGAAGUUGCAGGCUGAACAAGGAUGGCCGAACAUUGAAAUUUAUAAAGAUUGAUCUUUGUAGACAAGGGCAUUUCUGUAGAAAGGAGGGCUUCAAAUAUUGAAUAAUAUACUAUUUAUAAACUAUUACCAGAAUCUUAGAUGCACCACUUUUGGUUCAACAUGGCGAAUUGGUUUCAGCUUGCUUGUCUAUUUUCUUCAUUAAUGAAAAACCAUGUUGUUUUGGGUCUUAUUUUUUGGCUGUUUGAAUAGUUGGCACGUAGGUCGCAAGCUAGAGGAUAUAUGUCCUAGUUGUUUGAGCAUUGUUAAUGUAACAACUGCAGUCCGCUUGACUUUCUUUCAUCCUACUUCAUGGUAAAACUUCUUAU